rnacentral:rRNA from 1 species
GACGUAGGGGGCGAGCGUUGUCCGGAUUUACUGGGCGUAAAGAGCGCGUAGGCGGCUCGUUAAGUGUGAAGUGAAAUCUCCAGGGCUCAACCCGGAAACUGCUUCGCAUACUGGCGAGCUUGAGGAAUGCAGAGGUAAGUAGAAUUCCAGGUGUAGCGGUGAAAUGCGUAGAUAUCUGGAGGAACACCGGUGGCGAAGGCGGCAUCCUGGACCGGCAUUGACGCUGAGGCGCGAAAGCCAGGGGAGCAAACGGG